GUGGAUGCUCUGUGGCGGAGGCUGGAGACCCGAGUCAGCGCACAAAUGCUCUUUUUCGAGAGGAUAACAGAAGAGAGAAGGUAUCUUUGGAGACAGAGCUGACGAUCAAAGAGAUCAGAGACCAACAUUUCCCGAGCGUGAAACAGGGCCUAAUUGAGAAACAUCUACCACAACCAGUUGUUGCAGAACCAGAUGAAGAAAUAAAUGAAAAUGACAGCAACAGAAGCAAAUCCACUAAAACCAGAGGCACACAUUCUGAACUCUUAACCAUACCAACAGACAAGAACAGUCGCACUACCCCCCACCCGUGAAACCAUGUUAAACACCAAAUCUCUCAACGUAUGCAUUAUUCCCAACAUGUCACUUUGGAAAUUAAACAACAAAGGGUCAUCCUGAAGAAGGAGUUCAUAGUGCCUGGACUCCAUCUUAGGCCUGUUCAUGCUGACCAUGCUCGGCCACAUUUCCAAUGGACUCUGAACUCUGUGUUUAGUGCCUACCGGAAGAAACAACAGAAGGAUAAGACCCCCUCCAGACAGGGGAACCUUGAAGAUCAUGUCUAGGUUACUCAUCGCCUAAGAGAAAACAUACACUAAUCACCCUUUCCUCCAGACAGGCCAUAAAUUUUUCUGUAUCUAUCGGAGUGUAACCUCAGGCUUAUUGAUUAUUGGGUAAUUGUUUGAGCACAUGAGCACAUACACGUGAAUGAUGGGGUUACUGGGAUUGUAUUUUCUUUGGUUUAUGUAAGUCUCAAGGAAUUUGGGGUGGUGGGUUCAGACACAUGCACAUGGGGUAUAAAAGAUUUUCACAAAUGCUGGUCGGGGUUCUUGGUUAAGAGGAGACUCUGCCUUGGGCCCGCCAGUGUAAUAAACUGCACUUCGCUAUCUGCAUUGUCCUUCUAAGUGAGUUUGUUUCCCGGAACACGUGGCUAUAACAAUCCUAAACAAAUUUAUUUCCCAUACUGUGCACUUUGUUUUUCAAGAACUGUCUUACUCUAUGAACUAAAGAACAUCUAGUUCAUUAUGUAAUUUAUCAAUAUAAAAAAUAGGAAGUUGUUUUAUUAAGUUUGACUGACGGCUACCAUGUUUGCAAAGGUGUUGUGUUUGGUAAUAUGGAAAGGAGGAAGACACUUUAAGCAGCAGGAGGAUUGUGCCAGGGAUGAGCUACAGGGGGAAGAAGCAGGCCCUGAACCAGAGAUCAAAAAGUCACCCACUGCUGCUUGAGUCUGGCCUUGCAGGAAACUCUGAUAAUUGCUGUUCAUCUAUCAGUCUUGCCAAGAAGCCCUUGCUUUUGCAAACCUUUCCCACAUUCACCCAGAGGUAAACAUGGAAGGGCAGCAUCAGAAAGAAUGGCAGUAGGAACUUGCUGCUUCCUGGGAGGCCUGAAGCCUUGGAACAGCUUAAGGGAAAAAAAAAGAUACUGAAAAAAAAAAUGAAAAAAACAAAAACAAAACAAAAGAUACUGAAGUGUUGUGCAAGCAAUAUCUGUCCUUCUAGCUUUUGUAAAAGGGAUUUGAGAUAAGGACAUGAUUCUGCGUUCCUUUUUAUACAUUAAUUUCCUGAAUGCUAGUUAUUUAAGUUGUUUUACGUUUGAUUAGCUUGGGUUUACGUGCCUUUUCUAUACGUUGGUCAUUUUAUCUUUAGGAAACUGAAGUUUCCCCAAGGUCACAACAAAUAUAUGCUGUUUUGUUUGCAAGUCUGUAUUGCUGAGAGCAAAAUGUUAACAUUGUCAGUGAUCACCCCAUAAGGGUUUAUUCCUGAAGGUCUGAAUCUGCAGGCUAGCUGCACUAAUGGCAAUAGCAAUAUGUUAUUUUAUGUAACAACAAUAAAAUGCUACUUAGUACAACAUUAUACAAGCCUACUUAGUUUCUAGGCUCUUCUGUAAUAUCCUCCAUAGCACUGUAUAUUUCCAAGCUUGAGUUUCUGGUCUGUUGCAGAUAUUAAUGGAAAAUAAUUAUACACAAGUCUGCCAGAUAGAUCAUUACUUUCAAUUCCCUUUGAGUCAUUUAAACCAAAUAGAAUGGAUCUUUCUUGAUCAUUUAAUUAUUG
ensembl:lncRNA